GUAGGUGAACCUGCGGAAGGAUCAUUAACACAUACACCUUCAAAACGUGUAUUUCACCCCCCUUGUGCAAACUUGUUUUUUUCUGUAUUCCCGGGCAGUCUCUUUCUUUUUGCAUUCAGCCGCAGCGUGUCUGUAGCUGAAUCAAGGAAAAAACGAGCCUGUCUGUUGGUUUUCAACCUUUAUUUUACCCCUUGAACUGUUUAUGACUGAAAUCUGAAUCUACCGUAAAACAGUAGGUUCUGCCAUUAUAUCAAAACGCUGAACAACUCUUAGCAACGGAUAUCUUGGCUCUC
rnacentral:misc_RNA from 1 species